AAUCCGUCGAUUUCAAAAAUCG
rnacentral:tRNA from 1 species